GGAUUCCUUGCGAGACCUUAUACUGCCCGUCUAUGCAUCUAUCAUCUAGAACCACGUUCCUGAAAACCACAAUGACAUGAUCUUAAGAAAAUAACUGAACGAUGAGUUUUCGGUCAGGCCCAGUAGGAAAAGAAGUCACCCACCUCCUCUGAUGGAGAGGGAUAGAGACAGCAAUGAGAGAAUCGUUGAUGGCCUGCCUCCC